rnacentral:rRNA from 1 species
AUUCACUUCGGUGAUGACGUUGGGAACGCGAGCGGCGGAUGGGUGAGUAACACGUGGGGAACCUGCCCCAUAGUCUGGGAUACCACUUGGAAACAGGUGCUAAUACCGGAUAAGAAAGCAGAUCGCAUGAUCAGCUUAUAAAAGGCGGCGUAAGCUGUCGCUAUGGGAUGGCCCCGCGGUGCAUUAGCUAGUUGGUAGGGUAACGGCCUACCAAGGCAAUGAUGCAUAGCCGAGUUGAGAGACUGAUCGGCCACAUUGGGACUGAGACACGGCCCAAACUCCUACGGGAGGCAGCAGUAGGGAAUCUUCCACAAUGGACGAAAGUCUGAUGGAGCAACGCCGCGUGAGUGAAGAAGGUUUUCGGAUCGUAAAGCUCUGUUGUUGGUGAAGAAGGAUAGAGGUAGUAACUGGCCUUUAUUUGACGGUAAUCAACCAGAAAGUCACGGCUAACUACGUGCCAGCAGCCGCGGUAAUACGUAGGUGGCAAGCGUUGUCCGGAUUUAUUGGGCGUAAAGCGAGCGCAGGCGGAAGAAUAAGUCUGAUGUGAAAGCCCUCGGCUUAAC